AUACCAUGGUCUAGGUACUUGUCUUAAAAGAUAAAGUUUAUAACAUGUUUAUACUUUAAGACAAGUACCUAGACCAUGGUAU
rnacentral:pre_miRNA from 1 species